ACGGAUCCCAAUAGUAGGGUGAAUAUACAUCAUACUAUAAUGUAUGAGAUGCCAGUCACCAACAGCUGACUGUAAUACCGAUAUGCGCAUGCGCACCUUUCUAUUCUCAUAGCCCAUUACUCCGUGUGACGAAACGUUGCGUUUGAUGGCCUUGAGAUUUUACUCUCAUCGAGCCCAAAGGAGUUUCACUUCAAUCACUACCCUCUCCUAAGCUCAUAUGGUUAUUUGAAUGCUUUUGGGUCACAAAGAACCCUUAAAUAGUUUACUGACGGUUCGUCUAUCUGUAUGAGCUAAUCGUCAAACGACUGAACCGACGUUGAUGGAAGUACAAUAAUGAAUACAAGGUUGUCACGAGGGCCUAUUUUAAUUCUUUAUGGGUCGUAGCAACUAUUAAUUCUUGUUAACAAUUAGAAAUAGUUUCUCGCCGUUAAUAGCUAAUAGAAGUUUGACAAAUUUCAAAAGAGUGUCGCUUGAUUUAGAAUGAACAUAUUACGAAUGUGUGUGCAUUCACAAACAAUAUAAAUGGUAACAUUUCAGAUUGUGCCAGAGAAAUUGUACAAGUCGUAAUAAAGCCCGAUUCGCCGGCAGUUAUAAAUCCUGACGGUGCGCAGUUUCCCGAUGGAUUUUUUAAUUUCAACAGACCUAAAACGUAUUUCAUAAACAUCUCGUCGGAAACUUCAAUCGUCAAUAUUAAAUUAGCAAAUCCACAACCGGGAAAGUAUUUUAUUUCAGCGUUUCUGCCAGCUGUGGAUCUACGAGAGGAAACCGCAGCCGUACCAGAAGAAUGUAACCAAAUUCUGGAUGUCUCUUUCUACGCUAAAACAAAGGACAACAUAAUAAUAAUCAGAAAUAACGAAGAUAUAACCAGUUUAUAUACCGGCAAACCCCUGACAUACAAGCUAUUUGUGCCUAUCAAUGUAGACCACUUAACAUUAACUAUAACAAAUGAAACCUAUUGUAGUACAUGUAACUUUUUAGAUGUAAAAAUGAACAGACUAUCAAUCGGCUCUUCUCAACAUACGGUGAUCUCUACAGACAAUCUUCUGUACAACAAAACAAAUUUGAAUUUAUGGACAGUAGACAAUUCUUGGUAUUAUCUUCAGUUAAAAUUCAUCAAUUAUAGUGACGACACAGUAAUAGAACAAGACAAUGGUUCGGUAUCAUUUAGUGUAAAAUUCAUUAACGCUAUUAUUACAAACAGUACGAAUGAAUGGAAUUCAAGCAAUACGAAUGAUUCGUACCUCAAUAGAACAACAAGGAUAUAUCGCAACAACUUUUUAAAAACUCGGAUGGUUUAUGAGGAAUACAUGACAGUAUUGCAAAGGUUAUAUCUACCGUUUACAUAUUUUUACCAUGUCGGAUUAAAUUUAACUCCAAUGAUAAUUCAAUUAGAUACGAAUAAUUUUGUAUCAGUUCCAUUCUACAUAAUGGAUGAAUUAGAUAGUGGUGGAACCAUAAAAAUUUCGUUAAGUUUUGUGAACGAAUCGUUCGUAGCCACUAACGAACAAUACAAAAUCGUGGGGUGCAUUAAACGGGAUGUUAGGGAAAUUCCCGUUUGGCCGUUUCAUUGCAAAGAGAACGAAAACAAAUUUGUUGCUCCAAUUCUUUUCAAUUCGAGUAAACCGUCUUCGUCAGUUUAUUUACCUUUUCCCGAGCCUGGACGAUGGUUUCUAACGUUUCGUUUAUUUUGCAACGCUUGUGAUCCUUGUCGUUGCUCAGAAAAUUGUCAGUCCACCUACGAGAUAUGUACAGAGACUUGCGAACAGGAUUGUAAAUCUGAAAACGAUUGCAGCCAAUGUACCGAAACGUGUAGAUAUUCAAUAUUGAAUACCGAUGCGUGUAAGGGUUGCGACUGUGAAGGAGACUGUUUAAAAACAAAUACGAGUUGUAACACCAGUGUAAUGAUCCAAAUUAUGUCUUCUCCAUGUGUAGAUGGAUCUUGUGGUCAGCAAGGAACUUGCUCGCUCAUUCUUAACCAAGGAUAUGCCAUGUCAACGUGUAGAUGUCGAAACAAUUAUAGAGAAGAAAAUAUAAUGGUCCGUAUUCUAUGAAACUGGAUUAAUCAGAAUGACACCAUGGUUAUCGAAUAGCAAAAAGUUUUUAAAAUAAAUACAAAUAUGCAGUUUAUGUGAUUUAUUUAUAACUAUACGUAUCUAUCACUUAAUUUUCAAGAUAAUGUAAAACCUAUGCGUAACACCAUUUUGAUGAAAUGCCAAUUUGACCCAGGUGAUUCUUAUGGAAGACCCAAUAAUUCAGUGAGAUUCUUCUUAAUCAUUAAACUAAGGAUCACAUUUUAGAUAUAGAUGGGAUUGCUCAGACAGCACAUACGCUAACUCCUUUGGAAUGGUACUUCUCGAAUAUUUGUUGUUGACAUUAAGUAAUAUAGCGUUCAUUCCUUCGGGCAUAAUAGCGUUUAAAAGGAAAUACUACGUUCCAUGCAUAAUGUACACCUCUGUUUUUUUUGCAUCAACAAUUUACCAUGCUUGUGAUGCAGGAGAGUCUAUCAUAAGUUACUGCUUACUACCAUUUGGGGUGUUACAAUAUGCAGACUUCCUUUGUGCCAUGGCAGCCUUGUGGACGACUAUUAUUUCAAUUGGAUUUAAUACGGCUAACAUCAAUUCAAUAUUUUACGUUACUGGGACGCUGGCCAUUGCAAUUGGCGUUAGAGCAAAUAUGAUGUCAGUGUGGUUCUAUGUUAUCUUUGGUGUUACUAGUAUCAUAGUAAUAUUUGCGAGCUGGAGUUUUAAGUUUAAAGUGAAGCGCCUUUAUCCGAAGAAGAUAUAUUUACUUUUAAAUUUGCCACUAGGACUGAUUUUACUUGUUAUAGGUUUACUUCUAUUCGGUUUAUCAACCAGGAGCACGUAUAAAUAUUUUCACAGUCUGUGGCAUGUUUUAAUGGCGUUAGCCGUUUUUAUUGUUCUGCCAAAGAGAAAUAUAUUCUUAUUACCAAGGUAGAAUACAGGUAUUUCAUGCAGUGCCAGAAGCAUUUUUGAAAACUUGACUUCUCGGUUAAAAUCUUCGCUGUUUUGAGGAUAAAAAGUUACCUAUACGUACGUACACCAACUGCAUGACAUACGAGGUUUGUUCUUUGUUCAAAAAGUAUCGUGAAUUUUGAAUUUCCGCGGAUUACGUACAUUCAAUUUCGGCCAUGUUGAAUGUUCAGUUAAAUUUUGACAGCUGUUUUGCUUGCACGUGUUUCGACUCGCCUUCGAUUUUUGCCUAUUCCAAAAUAUGGAUCAAAGAAUUCAUAUCAUUUUAUCAGAAAAACAAAAUUAAGUGCGCGGACUCAUUCCGUAUGUUGACUGCGACAUAUGGUGAAGUUACCUUGGACCGAAACAACGAUUGUCGGUGGUACAAAAUGUUCUCAAAAUAGUAUUGGCUAACCGUCGAAUCACUGUUUGGCUCCCGCCAUUCGAUUUUUUCCAAUUUUCUGGCAUGAGACGGGUCGUCACGAAAUUCGUACCAAAAUUGCUCAAUUUCGACAAAAACAGCAUCGUAUUAACGCUGGUAAAGAGCUGUUAGAUUCUGUUAGCGAAAACCCAAAUUUGCUCCAGAGGGUGACGAAUCAUGGGUUUAUGGUUAUGAUGUGUAAACCAAAGCUUAAUCAACCCAAUGGACACUGCUGUACGAACCAAGACUGAAAAAAGCUCGCCAAGUUAAGUCGAAUGCGAAAGUUUUGUUUGGAGUUCUUCUUCGAUUGCAGGGGCGUGGUGCAUCAUGAGUUCUUACUACAGGGUAGAAUGGCCUUGCAAGUUAUGCGCAAUUUUCUCGAAACAAUCUGGCAGCAACGCCCGGAUUUGUGGAGGAACAACAAUUGGCUUUUGCCCCUGCUCACAAUUUGUUGCUUGUGCGCGAAUUUGUGGCCAAAAACAACACACUAAUAAUGCUGUAGUCACAGCAUGCCCCAGAUCUGGC
rnacentral:misc_RNA from 1 species